ACUUCUUUAAAUUACAUUCUCCUAAUUACAUAUUCUUUGGACUCAUCGUUUAAGCAUAUAACAUUUAUAUAAGACGGCUUAAAACAAUAAUCUAUGCCCUUUAUAUUAAACUAUAUUAAUUUAACAUGUGAAAUGUCCGUAAAGUAUCAUUAUAUGAUUGGUUUUAGGGCACAUUUCCAACAAGCGUCCUGUAAGUCCCCUCCACACUUUUUGAUCCAUUUAGCCUCCCACCAAGUGGCGAAAGUUGAGGUACACUCCAAAUUAAGGGCCAAAGGCUUUUGGGUAACUUUGCUCAUAACUUAAAGGCUACGUCGGGCAACUUGGAAGAUAUCUUCAUGAGGGAAGUGGAGGCGAUAAGAAGCACCAUAAUGGAGGCGAUAAGAAUGGCCUGCCUGAAGCUUAGCUGCCUGUUGCAGAAGUUUGGAUGAUAAACUUCCAACUCUCGUUCAUAGCAAUCACUACGGACUCCUCAGGCUAUAAUUGAAUACAACUGAAAAAUCUCUUCUUGCAAAAAGGGUUGGCAUCUUCCCCGAAUGCAUCUUGAAAGGCUUGAUCAGAGAAACAGGGAUACUUCCUAAAGAUGGAUGCCCCCUACUCCAAGUCUGCUCGAGUCCUACAGAUCAUGAAGAAAUAAAAGCAGGCAAAUGUGGAAUGAUCAGUGGGAUGAGAUUCGGCCAAGAUUCGGGCAGAGCCACUACUUCUGGAACUCCAAGUUGGUUACCCGAAAUUCUGGGAAGUACCAUUGUAGCCAUAAUUGAACCAUCCAGAUUAGUCCAUUAAGGUUGGUCUCGAAUGGUUCACCUAGAGUCAUGUCGAAAAUAAGAUGGUAAAGAUGGGAAAUGAGGAAUGGGCCCGUGGCAACAUCGCCAAAACUAUGAAGAGCUUCUAGUAAAAGGAUAUUCAACCUUCACUCCCUUGGAUUUUUUGGGGAAGACAUGCUUGUUAAGCCAGUAUAAAAGGAAGUAUGUGCUCUUGAGCUAAGUUUACAUAAGGAGAACUAGCACCAAAGUUCUUCUUCAUAAAAGGGAUCAAACCUUUGAAAGAAGUCUCGUAGCUUUUGAAAGUUACAGAGUGAUAUUCCAAUUGGAUUGGGGAGGCCGAAGAACCUGAACUCUCAGCUGUCGGACGGGAAGGAGGAGCCCAGUCAUGAGUAACAUCCACGAUUAUGCCCGAAGGUCUUAGCCCAAAUACUUGUGCCAUAUCUAGAAUUGUUGGGGACAUAGGGCCCAUCUUGAAAUCGAAGGUAUUUGUGCCUGAAUUCCAGAAAAGAAUAGCAGUGGUGAGUCACUCUGGUUUGGCGAUUAUGGUAAUUUUCGAAAGCAUUGUCAACUCAUAGAUGCCAUUGUUCAUCCACUUCCGUUCAAAAAUUGGCUCGAGACCAUUUAUCCACUAAACCCAUGCCGUGUCAUUCAUCAGAAGAAAGCCACGACAAUAUUGCAACCACUUAGAUGAAGAAAUGCCUGACUUGGCCGUGAAUGGGUUAGGAGCGAACCAAUUGUCCCUAGGCAUGUUAGUCUCUACUACAUUUGGAACCCAAA
rnacentral:lncRNA from 1 species